AUUGAACGCUGGCGGCAGGCUUAACACAUGCAAGUCGAGCGGAGAUGAGGUGCUUGCACCUUAUCUUAGCGGCGGACGGGUGAGUAAUGCUUAGGAAUCUGCCUAUUAGUGGGGGACAACAUUCCGAAAGGAAUGCUAAUACCGCAUACUUCCUACGGGAGAAAGCAGGGGAUCUUCGGACCUUGCGCUAAUAGAUGAGCCUAAGUCGGAUUAGCGAGUUGGUGGGGUAAAGGCCUACCAAGGCGACGAUCUGUAGCGGGUCUGAGAGGAUGAUCCGCCACAAUGGGACUGAGACACGGCCCAGACUCCUACGGGAGGCAGCAGUGGGGAAUAUUGGACAAUGGGGGGAACCCUGAUCCAGCCAUGCCGCGUGUGUGAAGAAGGCCUUAUGGUUGUAAAGCAAUUUAAGCGAGGAGGAGGCUACUGAGACUAAUACUCUUGGAUAGUGGACGUUACUCGCAGAAUAAGCACCGGCUAACUCUGUGCCAGCCGCCGCCGUAACAC
rnacentral:rRNA from 1 species